UGGGUGCCACCCCAAAAUGCCAUUCGCUACUAGUAGUUUGAUGCUCAUUUCACCUCUUAUUGAAAGAAGCAUUUAUUUUGAUGUUCGGGGGGAGCAUUUUUCAAAUCGAGGAUGAGGAGGAGAGAAUAUUAACGUUAGUUGCGAGAUACAGAAGAAUAAGAAGAACAUACAGAAGAAGAGAAUAUUUCCACAGCUCCACAAGCUCUUUUCAAAAUUGGCGAAAGCAUCAUAUUUGAAGGUCAAUUAAACAUGAAAAGAAAUGGAGAGAUAUCAGACUUAUUUUUAAAGAAGCACAAACAGGCAGAUCAGGUGCAAACAGAACCCAGCCCUUGACUCACCACCGAACCCCAGAGAAGCUCCCUACCUGAGGCUAGUCAGAGUCAGUGUGGUCAGACUUCACAAGGACCCAGUCUACCACCACCAGAUGUAUCAAGGGAUGACACAGAGACCUCUGGCUCUGAGCGAGACAGUGAGCCAGAGCUGCCAGGAGAUUUCAUCGAGCCCCUCCCAACUGCAUCAAGCACCAGAUAUGCUGUUCCAAAAGGACCCAAUGACAUUUCAAGAUCCAGAGAAGAGGGUCCUGUACAUCUGUGUUUGAAAACAUUUCCCAGAACUCAGCUUGGUACUAGGAAAAGGGCUUUCAACAGCUCCUGGUUUAAGGACAAUUCAUGGCUUGAAUAUUCUGUAAGUCAAAAUGUGACUUAUUGUUUCGCCUGUAGGCAUGUUUCUCUGCCCAAUACACGUGAAUCUGCCUUCACAUCACAAUCAGGUUUUUGUAACUGGAACAAGGCGCUGUUUAAAGAUUCUGGGUUUAAGCUCCAUUCGAAGGCAGAGCAUCCUAUCAACGCGGUGUAUGCUUGGAAUCUGUCACGCCCUGGCCUUAGUAUUCUUUGUUUUCUUAAUUAUUUUAGUUAGGUCAGGGUGUGACAUGGGGAAUGUAUGUGUUUUUUGUAGUGUCUAGGGUGGUUGUAAAGAUUAGGGGGUUCAUUAGAGUAGUUGGGUUUAUGUUUAGUAUAGAAGUCUAGCUGUGUCUAUGGUUGAGUGUAGGUAUCUAGGAAAGUCUAUGGUUGCCUGAAUUGGGUCUCAAUUAGAGACAGCUGGUUAUUGUUGUCUCUGAUUGGGAGCCAUAUUUAAGGCAACCAUAGGCUUUAGCUGUUUGUGGGGAAUUAUCUAUGUCGAAGUGUUUAGUGUCUGCACUUCUGUUUGUAUUAGCUUCACGGUCGUCUGUUUUGUUGUUUUGUUUAGUUUAGUUGUAUAGUGUUUGUUUCAUUUUCGUCUUCUUUCUGUAAUAAAGAAGAUGUAUUUUCCACGCGCUGCGCCUUGGUCCUCUCUCAGUCCCUUUGAUGAUCGUGACAGAAUCAGCAUAAAAGGGCCAUUGACAGCAACCCAUCAAUGUUAGAUGUCAUAAAUGAGGACCGGAAAAAGAAAGUGGAGGAAAACUGUACUUACAUUAAAACAAUUACAGAUGUGCUCCUAUUAACUGCCCCUCAAUUUAUAGCGCAGAGAGGUCAUUGAGAGUCUGAAGACUCUCACAAGGGUAAUUUUUUGACAAUCUUAGAAGAAAUAGCAAAACAUGACCCUCUCAAAGAGAAAAAGGAUGAAUGCAUGUGGCAAUGCUAAGUACACAAGCCACCAAAUCCAGAACGAAGUUCUUGAGGGCUGAGUUGAGAUGGUACAAAGUGAAAUCAUAAUAGAAGUAAAAGAAAGUGAAGUUUUUAGUGUAAUUGCAGAUGAAACCAAAUAUUUCAAGAAAAAAUAACAAAUGUCUUUAGUUGUGAGGUACUAUUACAACGGGGCCAUCCACGAAAGCUGUUUACACUUUCAGUCAGCUGAGAGCUUAGAUGCAGCAGGCCUCAAAAAUGAUAAUUGAUUGCCUUGAUAAACAUGAUCUGGACUACAGAAAUAAUCUUGUGGGGCAAGGCUAUGACGGUGCAUCCGUCAUGAGCGGAAAGCAUUCUGAUGUGUCUGCACGGAUUAAAAACAGUACAAUAUUUGCAUUUUAUGUGCACUGUAAUGCACAUAGUUUGAAUUUGAUUCUUGUCGAUGCUGUAAAAUCAGUGUCUGAGGCAGUUCACUGUUUUUGCUCUCCUGCAGAAGCUUUAUAACUUUGUAUCUGGCUCGUACGUUCAUCUCAAGUGGCUUGCAGUUCAGAAAGAGCUGUAUCCACAGCAGCAGCCCGGGGAACUACGGAGACUUACGGAUGUAAGGUGGGCAUGCAGAUACAUGGCAUGCCGUAGUCUGAGGGAUAGGCUUCCAGCAGUUCUGAGAGUGCUACAGGAUAUCACACUUGAAAAUAGUGGUGAUAGAUCAGUGGAGGCAAGGGGCCUUCUUUCUCAGAUUUACAUUUCAUAGGGCUUUUGGUUACCUUUUGUAAAGUGCUUGGUGAUGCCAAAUGUCUUUCUGACAUGCUCCAAUCAAGCUCUCUUGACCUAGCAAGGGCUGUGGAUCUAGUAGGUGCCCUUACGGACACAUUACAGGACUACAGAAGUGAGGGUUACUAUGGAAAGAGGUUGAAGAGAUUGCAGAGCACUGCAAAAUAAGUGUACAAACAGUGUGUAAAAGACAAGCUUAAGAUUUCACGACUCAUUGAUGAUGAGCACUGUAGGACAGAAAAAUAGUGACCAAAGUGAUGGUGAGAGCUUUCAAAGAACUAUCUUUUAUCAGGUGCUUGGCAGUCUCACAGCUGAGCUGCAGAGGUGUUUUCAAAGAAGAAUUGCAAGAUAAUGCAAGGGGUCCAGUCUCUCAACCCAUAGAGUACAACAUUCUUGAAUUAGGAGCCUCUGUUUGCCUUUGCUCAGACCUUUGAGUCAGAUUUAGAGGACCUCAAACAUGAGGUUCAUCAAACCAAGCGGCUUCUUGAUAGGAGAGAGAAAGUGGAAGGGACAGACCGUCUACUCUCCUUGACUUUGUUGUGUUUCUAGAACCUUAUAAAGAGGUCUUCCAUGAGCUAUUUCGACUUUGUAAGAUUUCAGUUGUUACACCAGUCAGCAGUGCUUCUUAUGAGAGAAGCUUCUCAGCUUUAAAACUGACCCACCUUAGGACAACAAUGGCCGAUGACCGGUUAAGUCACCUAUGAAUUCAGUGUUGAGUCGAGUAGGGCCCGCUCCCUCAACAUGGAUGAGUUUGUGAAACAUUUUGCCAGUUCUCACCAGAACCGCAGAAUUAUGCUGUUUUAAAUCUACUUAGGAUAAUUUGGCACUUAGGUUGUCCCUCUGUUCAUGAUUAAAACCUGCACGGUGUACUAGCUAGUACACUGACAUUCUAAAAUGAUAAAUCCAAAGGGUUUCAUGUCACACAGAUUUGAUUUGGUCUUGAUUAGGCCAAUUCCAAAACUUUUCUUUGCUCUUAGUUAACAUAAUUUAUAUGAGCGGAAAUAUGAUACUGUACGUUUUAAAUAUUGAUGGGCACCAAAAUUAUUUAAAUGUUUCAAGUCCACUUUUGCUU